GGACUACCAGGGUAUCUAAUCCUGUUUGCUCCCCACGCUUUCGUACCUCAACGUCAAUGCUGGACCAGGAAGCCGCUUUCGCCACUGAUGUUCCUUCUGAUAUCUACGCAUUUCACCGCUACACCAGAAAUUCCGCUUCCCUCUUCCGCAUUCUAGCUGUCCAGUUUCGAAUGCAAUUCCCAGGUUGAGCCCGGGGAUUUCACAUCCGACUUAGAUAACCGUCUACGCACGCUUUACGCCCAGUAAUUCCGAUUAACGCUUGCACCCUCUGUAUUACCGCGGCUGCUGGCAC
rnacentral:rRNA from 1 species